UCGGGAAUUUUGGACAAUGGGCGAAAGCCUGAUCCAGCAAUGCCGCGUGAGUGAAGAAGGCCUUCGGGUUGUAAAGCUCUUUUGUCAGGGACGAUAAUGACGGUACCUGAAGAAUAAGCUCCGGCUAACUCCGUGCCAGCAGCCGCGGUAAUACGUAGGGACCAAGCGUUGUUCGGAUUUACUGGGCGUAAAGGGCGCGUAGGCGGCGUGGUAAGUCACUUGUGAAAUCUCCGAGCUUAACUCGGAACGGUCAAGUGAUACUGCUGUGCUAGAGUACAGAAGGGGCAAUCGGAAUUCUUGGUGUAGCGGUGAAAUGCGUAGAUAUCAAGAGGAACACCUGAGGUGAAGACGGGUUGCUGGGCUGAUACUGACGCUGAGGCGCGAAAGCUAGGGUAGCAAACGGGAUUAGAUACCCAAGUAGUCCCUGAGCGGGCUGGCAAGGCGCAU
rnacentral:rRNA from 1 species